rnacentral:lncRNA from 1 species
AAACGUAUUUUUAAAUAUUUAAAGCGGGUUUUUGAUAGACAGCAAUUUUUGAAAUUCGAGUAAAAGUUAACAAAAUGAGCGAAAAUCAAACUUGUUGUUUUCUAAAGCAACUGAUAAUAACUUAAACUAAGUAAAACUCUGUGAUUAGGAUUACAGACGUUUUUGACAUCAUUAAUUUCAUAUAUCUAUGCUUACUUCUUACCAAACAGCAAAUCAUAACAAUAUUUGCCCCAAAUACCACCAUCUGCGGAAACACAGCUUUUGAGCACUUCUUCCUUUGUAUGUGGUCAAAAUAAGAUUGAAGGAACACAGUUCUUAAGAAUGUGAAAACAUGUAAAAUGAAAAAAUAUAUGCGAGUAUCAUGCUUUUGCUAGAAAUUAAGCAGGAGAAACUUUGACCUUUAAAUGUGCAUCGUAACUGCCAGACUGAAAUAAGCAUCUUUCGACUUUUCUUAUUGUUUGAUUUGUUAUUUCCUUAUAAACAUUGAUGUACAUGUCGUGAAAAGACGUUUAUCUAUAUAAUGUCAACCAUAAACAAAUAUAGACAAAAAUUAAUAAGAAAUAAAUUUGUGAAAAUAACAAUUUCAAAGAAUUAACUUACAAGUAUACAAAUUAGACACUUGUCUUCU